AUAAUACUCCCUCCGUCUGGAAUUACUUAUCAUCAAAAUGGAUGUGUCUAGAACUAAAAUACAUCUAGAUACAUCAAUUUCAAUGACAAGUAUUUUCGGAUGGAGGGAGUAGUAG
rfam:Triticum aestivum genome assembly, contig: Triticum_aestivum_CS42_TGACv1_scaffold_145890_2BS